GAUCAAAUUUCUUGCAAGAGAUCAGUGUAUGUCUUCCCCUUGACGCCCUGCGGCACCUCUGGGACCACAACGGCCCUGGGCUGCCUGGUCAAGGACUACUUCCCCGAGCUGGUGACCGUGUCCUGGAACUCGGGCGCCCUGACCAGCGGCGUGCACACCUUCCCUGCUGUCCUGCGGUCCUCAGGACUUUACUCCCUCAGCAGCAUGGUGACCACCAGCAGCGCGGGCAGCCAGACCUACACCUGCAACGUCGUCCACACGCCCACCGGCUUCAAGAAGGACGUGCCAGUGCCAGUGAAACCUAAUGGCCCACAACCCUGUCCCCCAUGCCCAGCACCUGAAUUCCUGGGGGGACCAUCAGUCUUCCUCUUCCCCCCGAAACCCAAGGACAUCCUCAGGAUCACCGGGACCCCUGAGGUCACUUGCGUAGUGGUGGAUGUGAGCCAGGACGACCCCGAGGUCCAGUUCAACUGGUACGUGGACGGCGUGGAGGUGCACACUGCCAAGACGAGUCCAAGGGAGGAGCAGCACAACAGCACGUUCCGCGUGGUCAGCGCCGUCCCUGUCCUGCACCAGGACUGGCUGAAGGGCAAGGAGUACAGAUGCAAGGUCACCAACAAAGCCCUCCCGGCCCCCGUCCAGAAAACCAUCCACAAAGUCAAAGGGACACCCCGAGAGCCGCAGGUGUACACCCUGCCCCCAGCGUGGGAGGAGAUGAGCAGGAGCCGGGUCAGCCUGACCUGCCUGAUCCAAGGCUUCUACCCCAGCGACAUCGCCAUGGAGUGGGAGAGCAACGGGCAGCCAGAGAACAACUACAAGAACACGCAGCCCGUGCUGGACUCCGACGGCUCCUUCUUCCUCUACAGCAAGCUCACCGUGGACAAGCAGAGGUGGCAGCAGGGGAGCGUCUUUUCGUGCUCCGUGAUGCAUGAGGCUCUGCACAACCACUACACGCAGAAGAGCCUCUCCGCGUCUCCGGGUAAAUGAGUGCAACACCCGGCAGGCCCCGCUCCCCAGCCUCUCUGGGUCCCGAGAGAGUGCCUGCCACACACCCCAUGUACAUACCCCCCAGGUGCCCGGCAUGGAAAUAAAGCACCCAGCGCUGCCCUGGGCCCCU